UGCUGCUGGCCGGAGCUCUUUUCACAUUGUGCUACUGUCUGCAUCUGUCACUAGCAGUGCAAUGUUAAAAGGGCAUUGGCUGAGUAGUG
ensembl:miRNA microRNA 130a